GUGAGGAAUAUUGGUCAAUGGACGGAAGUCUGAACCAGCCAAGUAGCGUGUAGGAUGACGGCCCUAUGGGUUGUAAACUGCUUUUAUGCGGGGGUAAAGUGAGUGACGUGUCAUUCAUUGCAAGUACCGCAAGAAUAAGGACCGGCUAAUUCCGUGCCAGCAGCCGCGGUAAUACGGAAGGUCCUGGUGUUAUCCGGAUUUAUUGGGUUUAAAGGGAGCGUAGGCCGUCAGGCAAGCGUGUUGUGAAAUGUCGUGGCUCAACCAUGGACUUGCAGCGCGAACUGCCCGACUUGAGUGCGCAGAAAGCAGGCGGAAUUUGUGGUGUAGCGGUGAAAUGCUUAGAUAUCACGAAGAACCCCGAUUGCGAAGGCAGCCUGCUGUAGCGCUACUGACGCUGAAGCUCGAAAGUGCGGGUAUCGAACAGGAUUAGAAACCCUUGUAGUCC
rnacentral:rRNA from 1 species